rnacentral:rRNA from 1 species
UACAGAGGUCUCAAGCGUUGUUCGGAUUCAUUGGGCGUAAAGGGCGCGUAGGCGGCGCCACAAGUCACUUGUGAAAACUCUGGGCUCAACUCAGAGCCUGCAAGCGAAACUGUGGUGCUGGAGUAUGGGAGAGGUGCGUGGAAUUCCCAGUGUAGAGGUGAAAUUCGUAGAUAUUGGGAAGAACACCGGUGGCGAAGGCGGCUCACUGGUCCGUUACUGACGCUCAGGCGCGACAGCGUGGGGAUCAAACAGG